rnacentral:rRNA from 1 species
AGAGUUUGAUCCUGGCUCAGAGCGAACGCUAGCGGGAGGCUUAACACAUGCAAGUCGAGCGAGAACUUCGGUUCUAGCGGCGGACGGGUGAGUAACACGUAGGGCAUCUGCCCUUUGGUGGGGGAUAGCCGGAGGAAACUCCGAUUAAUACCGCAUAUGGCCCACGGGUCAAAGUCUUCGGACGCCAGAGGAGGAUCCUGCGGCCCAUUAUUUAGUCCUUGUUGGUGGGGUAACGGCCUACCAAGGGUACGAUGGGUAGCUGGUCUGAGAGGACGAUCAGCCACACUGGGACUGAGACACGGCCCAGACUCCUACGGGAGGCAGCAGUGGGGAAUCUUGCGCAAUGGGCGAAAGCCUGACGCAGCCAUCCCGCGUGAGUGAAGAAGGCCCUAGGGUUGUAAAGCUCUGUCGCGAGGGAAGAAACCUGACGGUACCUCGCAAGAAAGCACCGGCUAACUCCGUGCCAGCAGCCGCGGUAAUACGGAGGGUGCAAGCGUUGCUCGGAAUCACUGGGCGUAAAGGGUCCGCAGGCGGCCCUUCAAGUCGGAUGUGAAAGCCCAGGGCUCAACCCUGGAACUGCAUUCGAAACUGGAGGGCUUGAGUACGAGAGAGGGAAGUGGAAUUCCUGGUGUAGAGGUGAAAUUCGUAGAUAUCAGGAGGAACACCAGUGGCGAAAGCGGCUUCCUGGCUCGAUACUGA